AAAACCAAUAUUGGUUUAUAACAGUUACACAACCUACAUGUAACUUCAUAAAUGCUACAUCGGCAGAUUGAAUUUAAAAAAGAUUAAUAAAGUACUUCAAAUUCAAAUAUAAACGUUAUAUUUGUUCGGAAUAGUAAUAAUUUUUUUCUCUGCCAAAGAAAGAAAACAAAAAAGAAGUUCGCCUAUAUAUAGCCUGUAUACUUUUAUUUUUCCGUGAUCCGGAUCGCGGGCCUCGCGGGGUUUUCUGAAAGUGUGCACGGAGAACACACGUGUUUCCGUUUCAACGAAAACAAACAAACACAGCUGCACCGUGACUGUCACAGCGAACGCUUGUAUUUUACAUCUUUAAAACGACCUGAUGUCAGAAGAAGAAAAUGCCCUGGAUCCCCUGUUGCAGGAUGACCCAAACGAUCAUGCAUUCAGUAUAAAUACGUACAUGGUAUUGACAUCCCAAUAUUUAGUGGGAAGUUUCCAGGUAUCAUCCGCUAGCGACAGUCUACUGACAAAUCCAGACAUGCAUUGGAAGGAUGCUGAUGUGGAGGACACAGGAACACCUGAUCCCAGAACUGUGGCAUUUCAUUCGGGGUGACAACCUGGCUUUCAGUUGAUAUGGGACUCUAUUAUUCGGAAAACUGCAGAUUUUAUGAAGCUGUCUUUGACAGAAGAUUUGGUUUUCUCCAUCUGUGUUGCCACCAACCAUUAUGCUGAGAUAGUCAUAACUAGGGGGAAGGGUUGCCAUAUACUUCCCAAGGAAGUUUGCAGCCUCUCACUGAAGAGGAACUGUACAGGUAUUACUAGUUUUAAAAACCGAUAUUGUGGCAGUGAUUUCCAGUUUCAAAAGAAUAAUAAAAUGCAUAGUAAAAAGAUUACCUUUACCAAAAUUAAUCUGGCUGUGAAUGUACAUGUAACUCAUUUAUUAAAUGUGUACUACAAUUACCUCUGAUAAAAUUUCAUAAGUAAUUAAAUGCAUACUUUUCAGAGGGCCUUGAUUAUCGAAAACAUUUACAGAGCCAAUUUGAGUAUUCAAAAGCUUUGACAAUACAUUAGUAUUUAGGACUAAGUAUUAACGAUGACGUUUUGUCUAUUAACAAUGAUAGCUUUCAUUCAUAUGUCGAUUUGAUAUAUCCCUGUGAGCUCGAAAUAAAGGACACCACAGAGUCGUCCACUUCUGCUUCAUACUUAGAUAUUUUAUUGAAAGUAGACAUUAACGGCAAACUAACAACUCAACUGUAUGACAAACGGGAUGAUUUCAGCUUCUCCAUCGUCAACUUCCCACAUUUAUGUAGCAAUAUUCCAUUAUCACCUGCAUAUGGUGUUUAUAUAUCUCAACUGAUUCGAUAUGCAAGAGCUUGCUCUGGGUAUAGUCAGUUUUUAAAUCGAGGUAAGCUACUGACAAACAAAUUGAUGGUACAGGGAUUUCAACAGUCUCGAUCGAAGUCAGCAUUUCGCAAAUUCUAUGGUCGUUAUAACGAUCUGGUUCGUCAAUACAACCUCGCAUUGGGUCAAAUGCUGUCUGACGUGUUUCAUACCGAUUGUUAAGCCGUUCUUGGCACACUGAUUUUGACUGCGGAUAACUCCGUUUACGUGAUCAGGAUAUGGGGCUCACGACGGGUGUGACCGGUCAACAGGGGAUGCUUACUCCUCCUAGGCACCUAAUCCCGCCUCUGGUGUGUCCAGGGGUCCGUGUUUGCCCAACUAUCUAUUUUGUAUUGCUUGUAGGAGUUAUGAGAUUGAUCACUGUUCGUUAUCUUCACCUUGCAUUAAGAAAUACUUUUUUUCCAGAUUUUUGUGCAUUAUCUUAUACACGUCUGCUGUGAAGUUCCAGUCGAUAGACAGAUAUUGGUCAACGCAUGCCCCUGUCGGAACAACUCGUUAUCAAGAAUUAUGUCUAGAAAUAGGUUUCAAGAGGUUGAAUAUAAGAACAUUUUUGUUAAAUAUGAUGCAAGUACAUUUGAAUCUAGUGAUUGAAAGUAAGUACUUGAACAUUCGUUUAUGUUGAACUUGGAGAGGAAAAAUGGUUAGUACUUUUUGAUAACAUUUGAUAAGGUGUUGUUGCUUAGCAACCAAAUAUAAUUGAAUAAAAAUAGAUUAUUUUAGAUUAACAAUAAUUGAAAGAUCUUUGUUUUAAUGUUGCAAUACUUAUUAUAUUUAAUGGAACAUAAUGGCAAAACGUCAUAUUAUUAGAAAAUGAUGGACAAGUAUAUAAAGUACGAAGUUUCCAUUUGAUGACCUUUGAUCUUAAUUCUCUUGAUUAUAUUUUUUGUUAAAAACCUUUUAAAAUGAUUAAGAUCUAUUUAAAGAUUAUAUUUUUAAAAUAAUGUGACAUUUACUAAUCAUCAUGGAUUGUAAUUACGUUUAAAUUGUGUCGAAUGGAUGCAGAAAGGCAAAUUAUGGUCAAAAUUGUACUAUGAGUGUUGUUACUUAGCAACCAAAAAUAUUUGUUUGUCAAUAAAAUUGAUUAGUUUGA